UGCAGUUACUUGCCAAGUAUCUCUAAACCAUAAAGAUUUUUUUUUUUGAUGUCAUUAUCAGAAAAAGAUGGGAGGAGGCUGUGCUGUUUUAGAGGAAGCCUGCAAACAUCUAUUGUAGCCUCAAGAAGAAUUUCUUCCUCAUUGUACUCAUUGGCCCUGGAAAUCAAAACUCACUUACUGAAGACCUCCUAGCUAUCAAGAAGUGAAGCCAGCAGAAAACAGACUCUUGGAGACAAGUGUCCCAUCAAAUUCCAUGAGUUUCAAAAACAGAACACUGAGGGAGGUAGUCAAGGAAAAAGUGUAAUCUUUAGAUGAGGUGUUCAGGUGAUAAAAAACUAUUUUUCAGUUUGCUACCUGUGCAAUAGGCAUAACAUUUUUUUUUCCUUUCUCACAGAUUUUCUUUCAGUUUUUACACUGCAGGAUUUCCACAACUGUCUCUUACUGCAUGACUUGUAGAGCUUCUAAUGCUUACAGCGCAAACAUAAUAAAUUAUGGAUUUUCUGAUAACCCUUUGUAAUCAGCCAAAUACCUAUUUUGUUUUCACAGUACCACCUACAUUACUAUCUGAAAGUAUAAGGCCAAGCACUCUUCACCUCCAAUGCAUUUUUUUCCCCUGGUGGCCAGAAGAAUCAAUAGAAGAAUCAAGAAAAUCAAUAGGAAACUAUUCCAAUAGUACAGCAUAAAUAACUUUUGUAUAGUUAUAUACUGUUAUUUAAAGGGUUACAUUCCUUUGCAGUGAUGGAUAGCAAGUCAUGAAAUAAUUCAGGACUGGUAUUUCUACAUGUAACCCUCCUAAUCUGAAUGUUUUGUUCACAAAAAAAAAAUAAAGGGAGAUGAAUAAAAGGAGGUGAAUAGGCGGAGCGGAAGGCACAGAUCUCUCCUCUCUUGUCACCAGUGGGGACAGCAUGGGGACGGUGGGGACUAAGGGAACAGCAUGAAGUUGCAACAGGGAAGGUUCAGGCUGGAUAUCAGGAAAAGAUUCUUCAGGAAUUGGAACAGGUUAACCAGGAAAGUGGUCACAGCAUCCAGCCUGCCUGAG